rnacentral:lncRNA from 1 species
GCGAGGGCCAUCCGGGCAACUUCUACGUCCGUGCCUGCGAUAAAAGAAAAGAAAGCGGAAAAUCCCGAAAAAUUGGAAAAGAUUGCGAAUAAACCCUCGGAAGCUAAACAAACAAAGCCAGAGGGGGAAACAACAACAAUGACAAGAGAAGUUUCGAGACCAACCUAGAUUGGCCCGACGUAGGCGGGGAGCCGACGGAGAUGGCGGGGAUUGUCGCAAAGAA